rnacentral:rRNA from 1 species
UACGAAGGGGGCUAGCGUUGCUCGGAAUCACUGGGCGUAAAGCGCACGUAGGCGGAUCUUUAAGUCAGGGGUGAAAUCCUGGAGCUCAACUCCAGAACUGCCUUUGAUACUGGUGAGCUUGAGUCCGGAGAGGUGAGUGGAACUCGAGUGUAGAGGUGAAAUUCGUAGAUAUUCGGAAGAACACCAGUGGCGAAGGCGGCUCACUGGCCCGGUACUGACGCUGAGGUGCGAAAGCGUGGGGAGCAAACAGG